UGGUGCCUAACAUGGGGCUUGAGGAUGAGGCCUUCAGUGAAGAACACUGGUGUUUCUGUUCAGACAAUCUUGCCUCCUUGACUAGGGAUCCUGGUGAUUCCUCAGUGAUCAUGGGACAGGCACUUAGUAGCCAUGAACUCUUUGGGGAAGGUUUGAAAAAGGCUUUAAAGGCAUGAAGGAUAAAGUUUAAAAUACAUGACUUACUUGCAUUUUUUGAUUUUGUAAAAGAGAUUUGUCUAU
rfam:Mus musculus chromosome 7, GRC primary reference assembly.